rnacentral:rRNA from 1 species
UCGGGAAUUUUGGGCAAUGGGCGAAAGCCUGACCCAGCAACGCCGCGUGUGUGAAGAAGGUCUUCGGAUUGUAAAGCACUUUAAGUUGGGAGGAAGGGUUGUAGAUUAAUACUCUGCAAUUUUGACGUUACCGACAGAAUAAGCACCGGCUAACUCUGUGCCAGCAGCCGCGGUAAUACAGAGGGUGCAAGCGUUAAUCGGAAUUACUGGGCGUAAAGCGCGCGUAGGUGGUUAGUUAAGUUGGAUGUGAAAUCCCCGGGCUCAACCUGGGAACUGCAUUCAAAACUGACUGACUAGAGUAUGGUAGAGGGUGGUGGAAUUUCCUGUGUAGCGGUGAAAUGCGUAGAUAUAGGAAGGAACACCAGUGGCGAAGGCGACCACCUGGACUGAUACUGACACUGAGGUGCGAAAGCGUGGGGAGCAAACAGGAUUAGAUACCCUAGUAGUCCCUGAGCGGGCUGGCAAGGCGCAU